AACGGUCUAUACCUGCGGUACCUGCGGAAGGAUCAUUACUGAGUUUCACAACUCUCUAACCCUGUGUGAACUGAAGUCUGGUUGCUCAGGCAGGCGGCCCCCGGGGGGAGCCGCAGCUUCUCUGAAGCGCCUGCCGGAGGAUACCUAAACUCGUUUUAACAUAUAAUCUUCUGAGUAAUAAAAAAAAUGAAUCAAAACUUUCAACAACGGAUCUCU
rnacentral:misc_RNA from 1 species